rnacentral:rRNA from 1 species
AUGAAAAAAAUACAAACUACAUAUAUAUUCAUAUGUAUGUUUAUAUUUAACAUGCUACAUUUUGCGCUUGAUGAACAUCCAGAAUAUACUACCCCAAGGCGGCUUCCUUUUGUCGUACAUGAAUUCCUCCUUCAUUGUUUGCACGCAUGUCAAAAUCUGGGGCAGUGCUUCAACUCAGCAGAAAUAAGCCUCCCUCCCCAAUGCUCCACCUUAUACAUGUGCUAA